rnacentral:rRNA from 1 species
GACGAACCGUGCGAACGUUGUUCGGAAUCACUGGGCUUAAAGGGCGCGUAGGCGGGCUUGUCAAGUCUGGGGAUGAAACGUCCCGCGGCUCAACCGUGGAACUGCCUCAGAUACUGACCGGCCUCGAGGGAGGUAGGGGCAUGCGGAACUGUAGGUGGAGCGGUGAAAUGCGUUGAUAUCUACAGGAACUCCGGUGGCGAAAGCGGCGUGCUGGACCUCUUCUGACGCUGAGGCGCGAAAGCUAGGGGAGCAAACGGG